UGAGGAACAUGACCUUCGGCGGGGGAUAGUCGGCCCAACGGCCGGGUAAUACCGCGUACGACCAU
rnacentral:rRNA from 1 species